UACGUAGGGAGCAAGCGUUGUCCGGAAUCAUUGGGCGUAAAGCGCGCGUAGGCGGCCUCAUAAGUCCGUUGUGAAAGUCAAAGGCUCAACCUUUGAAAGCCGAUGGAUACUGUGAGGCUAGAGUCCGGAAGAGGCGAGUGGAAUUCCUGGUGUAGCGGUGGAAUGCGCAGAUAUCAGGAGGAACACCAAUAGCGAAGGCAGCUCGCUGGGCCUUACCUGACGCUGAGGCGCGAAAGCUAGGGGAGCAAACAGG
rnacentral:rRNA from 1 species